GAUGAACGCUGGCGGCGUGCUUAACACAUGCAAGUCGAACGGAAAGGCCCAAGCUUGCUUGGGUACUCGAGUGGCGAACGGGUGAGUAACACGUGGGUGAUCUGCCCUGCACUUCGGGAUAAGCCUGGGAAACUGGGUCUAAUACCGGAUAGGACGAUGGUUUGGAUGCCAUUGUGGAAAGUUUUUUCGGUGUGGGAUGAGCUCGCGGCCUAUCAGCUUGUUGGUGGGGUAAUGGCCUUCCAAGGCGUCGACGGGUAGCCGGCCUGAGAGGGUGUACGGCCACAUUGGGACUGAGAUACGGCCCAGACUCCUACGGGAGGCAGCAGUGGGGAAUAUUGCACAAUGGGCGCAAGCCUGAUGCAGCGACGCCGCGUGGGGGAUGACGGCCUUCGGGUUGUAAACUCCUUUCGCUAGGGACGAAGCGUUUUUGUGACGGUACCUGGAGAAGAAGCACCGGCUAACUACGUG
rnacentral:rRNA from 1 species